UACCAGUUCUUGGGUGGUUUUGACUGGUUUUUCUUUUUAUCAGACAUCUAUUUUCCCGCUUUUCUGUGUGCUUGUACUUUACAAUUGGAUGCUAUACUUUUGUGAAUUGCCUUUCUGGAUGCUGGACAUUUUUGCCCUUCCACCACCUGCUCUGGGACAGCUGUGCUAUUAGAAGAGUCUGAUCCUUUCGGGUCUUCCUUUAGGAUUCCUGGGCAAGGUCUGCUGGGGUGCUUGUUGGGCUGAUCAGCCCCCACCUGAGGCCAGGCCCUUUGUGCAUACCCUGAGUGCCCAAGGGCUGGGGAGCACCAGGCACUAUUCUCCAAGGAGGAGGAUACAAGCGUAGGGAACUCCUCACACUGGCCUGGUCCUACCAUCUCCUCAGCAGCCCAAAGGACAGUGCCACUCAUUCUGGAAGCCACAGAGAGGCUGGGCUAUCUGGGCAGUCCAUGGAGAUGUUCGCUGCACUGAGUGGAAGAAUGGGGCACAGGGCCCAGCACAUCCUUGCAGUUGUGGAGGCCGAGCAGGGCCUCCUCCCAGGAAGACCCCAAGCAGCCCCCAGGUCAGAAGGGACUCAGGAACUCAACCUUCAACCAAAUGUCACAGGCCUUCCUGUGCUCGCCGUUUCCAGAGCUCCCUUUGGAGUCUUCUUAUAGGCCAGGCCAG